rnacentral:rRNA from 1 species
GACGAACGCUGGCGGCGUGCUUAACACAUGCAAGUCGAACGGGAUUUAGUAAACAGAAACCUCGGUGGAAGAUUACUAAUGAGAGUGGCGAACGGGUGAGUAACGCGUGAGCAACCUGCCUAUGACAGUGGGAUAGCCUCGGGAAACCGGGAUUAAUACCGCAUAAAAUCGUAGAAACACAUGUUUUAACGGUCAAAGAUUUAUCGGUCAUAGAUGGGCUCGCGUCUGAUUAGCUAGUUGGUGAGAUAACAGCCCACCAAGGCGACGAUCAGUAGCCGGUCUGAGAGGAUGAACGGCCACAUUGGAACUGAGACACGGUCCAAACUCCUACGGGAGGCAGCAGUGGGGAAUAUUGCACAAUGGGGGAAACCCUGAUGCAGCGACGCCGCGUGAACGAAGAAGGUAUUCGUAUCGUAUAGUUCUGUCCUAUGGGAAGAUAAUGACAGUACCAUAGAAGAAAGCUCCGGCUAAAUACGUG